UGACUGAUAGCCCAGUGGGCAGAGCAUGAAACUCUUGAUCUCAGUGUCGUGGGUUUGAACCCCACAUUUGGCAA